rnacentral:lncRNA from 1 species
CAAGGGUUAUCAUCUGCAUCUGUUCAGAGGACAGCCUCCAACCUUGUAUUGGCUAACAUUUUUAGCUCUGCUAACUAAACCCACAUGAGAUAAAAGUCCACCCACGCCACAGGUUACAGAGUUUGCUUUAAAUCAGCUCUGUUUUGUGAACACUGAAAGGCUUGAUUCUAUUUCAUGUAUUUCCUGUAGCACUUCAAAAUGAAUUUAGGUUGUUUGAAAGGUUCUUGACUGACAGUUUUGGAAAUUGAACUCCCAUGUUUAAUCCCAGAUUGUGUCCAAUACAAGGAAGCUUCUCAGUUGUACCAGAGAGGAAACUUUGCUAGUCUGAGGAUAGUCCUAUUCACUUACUUUCUUAUGCCAGCAAAGUAGGAUUUCCUAGUUUUUCACUGCUCUGUAGUUACGGGUGUAGGAUAUUUUCAUUAUGCCUUGGAUACUAAGACUGUACGUUUAAAUCAGAAAAAAAAAAAGUAUUUCGUAAAUCAUCUGCCCUUUAAAGUAUGAUAAUUUCAUUUCAGCCUUAAAUUAAUUAGGCAGUACUAUGGAAAGCUAAUGAUCUUCACAGAACACUUGCUCUCUUUCCACCAACUUUCAUUUACAGUCCUUAUUGAUUUUUGAAAAAUUAAUUUAUGCUUUUCAUAUUGAGCUUAUUUUUUUGCAAAAUUACAGGUGUUGAAUCUAUGAGCAGAGAUGGAGUGCCAUUGUCCUUCCAAGUGAACAUGGAAUAGAUGGGGAGAAGCUAUGCUUACAACCAGCUUGGACAAGCCUUUGAAGAAUACCCUCCAAAGAACACUGGAAAGAACAACAAUGCCAUGGAAGAAGGAUAAGGACAAACCUUUCCACUCAUUUAUUUUCACAGUUUUGUUAAAUGUAGUGAAUAUGCUUAGCCACACUGAACUAGUCUUUUGUAAAGCACAAAAUUCAUCAAGGAAAGCUUGUAUGACUUCAUAAUUACACAAAACUGAUCCAGGAAAAAGAGAUCAUGAAGUAAUAUAGAGUGUUAAACUGUCUGAAGCUUAUCCAUCCUUUUGUUCAGAUGUAAAACUGAGGCAGAACAAGAACUGACCAAAAGAUUCCUCGCCUCACCUUUUUCCUUGCCCCUCCCCUGCCCUCCCCUCCUUUCCCUUCCCC